UGGAGCUGAGAGGGGCAGAUAAGGCUGUGGCUUCUGCGAAUGUCAGUGUGUCGCAGCAUAAACCAUCCACAACUCCAGCCACAUCCCCCAAGCCUGAGGACAAAACACUCCGUUUGAACAGCUGAAGGAGGAUGCUGACGCUGUUUGGUCAAUCCAACAUCUAGGAGUCUGAAGAAGAACACAUCACAGCAAAACACUACCGUCAGCAGAGCAUGUGCUGUCACCUGCUCACAGUGAAAGAUAGAGUCACGGAUGAGCGAUGAAGCAAACUACAGCCAGCACAUCUGAGCUACAGAGAAGCUCUUCAUAUCUCUGGCAGCUGAGCUAGCCUUGUGCUUGAGCUAGCCUCGUGUUUGAGCUAGCCUUAUGUUUGAGCUAGCCCUGUGUCUGAGCCAGCCUUGUGUCUGAGCUAGCCUUGUGCUUGAGCUAGCCUUGUGUUUGAGCUAGCCUUAUGUCUGAGCUAGCCCUGUGUCUGAGCUAGCCUUGUGUUUGAGCUAGCCCUGUGUCUGAGCUAGCCUUGUGUCUGAGCUAGCUUUGUG